UUUGUGUAAUUGAGGGUUCAAGGUAUUCUUUUCAUUCAAUCUCUCUCGCUUUUAUUUAUAUUUAAUGCAUUAUUCAUAGGAAUUUACUUUUGCACAAUCUAAAGAGCAAAGAUGUAGAACAGGUGGACAGAAUAUAAUAAACUCCACAAACUGACGCAAGGCAAAAGCAAAAGUGGUUUUCUUUUAAGGAAAUUUCAAGGCUUUUAAGAUGGAUAAAGGUAGAUGAGGUUUCUUGUAAUACGCAUGCAGCUUGAAGAUUUAUAAUGAAUUUGAUUAGACAUGUAGUUUUAAUUGGCUGCUUUAGGUGCUGCAAAGGUGCUAUGAAGGAAAAUAUAAGAAUGCAAAAAUGUCAAACUCACUCUUUCACCCCAAAAUUUGUAUGUUUCAACCCGUUAUACCCCUCAACUUUUUGAGAAACCUUUUAUACCCCUAAACUCAAAAAAAUGUAACAAUUAAGCACAAUUUUGCCUUGUCAACAAUGCAGCUAUGAACAUCACUAACACUUGUGAUGAUGUGUCAUUAAACAUAAUCACAACUAUCCACUUGUCCAUAAAACAUUAUCACAGCCAUCCAUUUGUCUCUCCCUUUGACUCCACCUUUGACUCCACCUCCACCUCCUCCUCCAUCGCAAUCCUCUUCCUCCUCCGUUGCUUCAUACUUAGAAACCUUGAUUUCUCACAACAUGAGAGGGGAUAAGAAGAAAAUUUUAGUGUUCUUGAAAAGGGGAAGAAGAGAGGUGGCUGGGAUUUUGUGAGGGAGAGAUUUUCUGAUUUUUUUUUUUCACGUGCUUCUUCACUGCCAUUUUCAAAGCUGUCGAAGCAUCCUUCUACUUGCCAGUGGAGCCCAACAGCCAAAAUCUCAUUUUCUCCACUUCCAUUUGCAACUCGUACUCCCAACAACCAAAAUGCUUGCUAAUCUUGCUUUUUCUACACAAAAACCUGAAACCAGCCUUCUAUCAUUAUUAAUGACCUUCCUAUUCAAACAAGUUCAAAUCGCAGAAUACCCAAAAUAAGCAUGUCAUAUCUGUUAUUUCUGUUUGGAUUAAAUCAGAAGCCGAGACACUUUCCACUCUAGUUUGAUUCAUUAUUUCAGAAUUCCUCAUUGUCAUUGCUGGCGGGUGUGAGUGGAGUCUCACUAAUUCAAUUAUGUUUCUUGCACUUGCUAGCUUCAAAUCAAUAAGCCUGGUGAUUUUGAGCUUGAUUCAACCUCUAGAGUUAUCGUUGUUAUUCUAAUUGAGAUAAUAUUAUCACCUCAUGAGGUAAUUUUAAUGCUUCUUCUGUGUUAAUCAUGAUAUUCAAAGUAUUUGGCCUUUAAUCUCUGCUGCAAAUUAAUCAUUGUUUAUAUAGUAAUUUGUUUCUUGCUUUUCCCUGCAACAAUUUUUAGAGUCGAGUGAUUCAAUAUUGCAUCUUGUUUGGAUUAAGCCUUGUAAUUAGGUGAGGUUUUUGCUUAGUGUGAGUGUUGUGAUUCUUUGAACUAUUGGAUCUAUUUGUGAUUCUUUGCUCAUUUUGUUUCUACUAUUUUGGAUGCCUAUUUAUUGCCCGAGGUAAAUUGAUUGCUUUUAGCAUUUUUGCGGGUUUGAUUGUUAGGUUGUUCUUUGGGCUAUGAAAUUUAAUGGGAUUUGAUUUGAACAUGUUCUGUGUUUUGUUAUAUGGUGGCCAAGACUCGAAUGUUCUCUCUUCUUUGGAAGAAGAAAGAGACAGGAGAAGGGAAUGGGCACUAGUGUGGAAGCAGGAGAGAGUAAAAUUUUCAUUUUACUUGCUUCUACACGCGUACACCCAUGGACAUCACUGACAAGGCAAAACUGUGCUUAAUUGCUAUAAAAUUUGCAAGUUUACAGGUGUAAUAGUUUCUUGAAAAAUUUAGGGCUGUGAUAGGUUAAAACAUACAAUUUUUGGGGUGAAAGUAUGCAUUUGGCCAAUAAAAAAAUGUAAUAACAUCAAUAAAAAAAUAUGGGCCAUGGACCACUUUUAAGAAAUUGUGAAGUUAUCAUAGUAGUUGUAAGUCCUAAAUUUGAAGAAAUAUUUUUAAAAAUUAAAAUGGGUUGCUUGUGAAUACAAAGAAGCCUAAAUAGGAGUACUUUAUACUAUCUUAUUGAGAUUUUGGAUGGUCUGGAGUGGCCCUAUAUCGGUUAAAACAUUAUUUUAGUCUCCGUUUGUUUUAUGAAAAAUAUUUUUUUAGAAAACAUUUUUUUCGCGUUUCUAACAUUUGGGGCACUCAGAAAAUGGGUCAAUGGAAAAUAUUUUUCUGUUCAAUGGGAAAACUAAGCUAUUUUUUGAAAAGAUGAAAUCUUUUUUUGAACUUUAACAAUUUUAUUAAAAUAUGAAAACAUCUAUACAUGCAUGAUAUAAAUACAUAUCAUUAGUUUAAUAUUGCAGCCACAAAGUAUAAAAUAUUUUCAUGGAAAAAAAUUUCAUGGAAAACAACUUUCAUAGAAAACAUUUUCUGUAUGCAAAUUAUUUUUGGCAAAACAAACGGAAUCUUAGAAUAAUUCGGUUUUUAAGCUUUCUUAUUAUUGAAUUUCUUCUUUCUUGCAUCAGAACUCUUAGAUCCAACGAAUGUAAUUCUUUAUGAAACUUGUUCUCAUUGCCAUAUCAACACUACUUUCCAGUUUAUUAACCCAUCAACAUUAAAUCAUGAAGGAUCCAAAAUGAUUUGAACUCUAGCCAAAUGCUUUUUAGUCUUGAUCCUUUUAUUUUCUCGUGAGGAUGAGGACAUUGCUGGAUAUCAAGUCUUAUGAUUUUGUUUGGGUCAUUAAGAAAUAACCCACAGGAAUUUUGUCAGGAAAGGUGUCACAGUAGCACUAGGAGACUACCAUAAAAUUUUGGCUUUGCAAAUCUCCAUUGGACAUGGAAAGAGUUGCUUAUUUGGGUUUUUGAACAUAGACUCAACUCUAGAAAGCCUUACUACCAAACUAACUAUUGGGUAAAUGGAUUAUUUUUCUAUGUUCCACUCCUUAAAAUUGCAUCUUUAGAAAAAUUGAGGGCCACUAAACUAUUUCUCAGCUUCUCGCUACUUCUCCCCUUGGCAUCCUAGGUCUUGCAACUUAAGGUGUUCAACUUUCUGAGCUGGUACAUUUGCUGGUCUAUGAGCAUGCGUCUAAACCAACUCAGUAUCACUUCUCUAAAUUUUUUCUCUAUAGAUGCCACUUCUACCUUCCUACAAAUACAUGCAUUUCUUACCUGGUUGCCAAUUAUAAACAUGUAAAUGACAAAUCAAUUGACAAAGGCUAUUUUGGUAAUUUUAAAAUAGCACAUUUUAUCAUUGAAAAAGAGGAAGAUGGCAUCCGAUUCUCUUAUAUGUGUGUGUGUGUGUGACAAAAAAGCAGGUAUUAAUAUAGGAUUGCUAAUGAUUGAUAUUUUGACUUAAGUAAGACUUAUUUUUGCAAUCUAAUUCGUGGUGAUUUUAGAGUUAGCAGUCUAAACAUUUGUUUGACAUUUCUUUUAAUUUCUUUAUUUGCUUUCUUGGCAGGUGCGAGGUUGGCAUUCAAGAACUCUCU
rnacentral:misc_RNA from 1 species